rnacentral:tRNA from 1 species
GUCCCUGUAGCGCAAUGGAUGGCGCGUUGGACUUCUAAUACAAAGGUCGUGUUUUGAAUCACACCUGGGACG